rnacentral:rRNA from 1 species
AGUGAACGCUGGCGGUAGGCCUAACACAUGCAAGUCGAACGGCAGCACAGUAAGAGCUUGCUCUUACGGGUGGCGAGUGGCGGACGGGUGAGGAAUACAUCGGAAUCUACUUUUUCGUGGGGGAUAACGUAGGGAAACUUACGCUAAUACCGCAUACGACCUACGGGUGAAAGCAGGGGAUCUUCGGACCUUGCGCGAUUGAAUGAGCCGAUGUCGGAUUAGCUAGUUGGCGGGGUAAAGGCCCACCAAGGCGACGAUCCGUAGCUGGUCUGAGAGGGUGAUCAGCCACACUGUAACUGAGACACGGUCCAGACUCCUACGGGAGGCAGCAGUGGGGAAUAUUGGACAAUGGGCGCAAGCCUGAUACAGCCAUACCGCGUGAGUGAAGAAGGCCUUCGGGUUGUAAAGCCCUUUUGUUGGGAAAGAAGAGCAGCAGGUUAAUACCCCGCUGUUCUGACGGUACCCAAAGAAUAAGCACCGGCUAACUUCGUG